GAAUCUGGGAGGACCAUCUCCUAAGGCUAAAUACUCUCUAGUGACCGAUAGUGAACCAGUACCGUGAGGGAAAGGUGAAAAGCACCCCGGAAGGGGAGUGAAAUAGAACCUGAAACCGUGUGCUUACAAGUAGUCAGAGCCCGUUAAUGGGUGAUGGCGUGCCUUUUGUAGAAUGAACCGGCGAGUUACGAUUUGAUGCAAGGUUAAGCAGUAAAUGUGGAGCCGUAGCGAAAGCGAGUCUGAAUAGGGCGUUUAGUAUUUGGUCGUAGACCCGAAACCAGGUGAUCUACCCUUGGUCAGGUUGAAGUUCAGGUAACACUGAAUGGAGGACCGAACCGACUUACGUUGAAAAGUGAGCGGAUGAACUGAGGGUAGCGGAGAAAUUCCAAUCGAACCUGGAGAUAGCUGGUUCUCUCCGAAAUAGCUUUAGGGCUAGCCUCAAGUGAUGAUUAUUGGAGGUAGAGCACUGUUUGGACGAGGGGCCCCUCUCGGGUUACCGAAUUCAGACAAACUCCGAAUGCCAAUUAAUUUAACUUGGGAGUCAGAACAUGGGUGAUAAGGUCCGUGUUCGAAAGGGAAACAGCCCAGACCACCAGCUAAGGUCCCAAAAUAUAUGUUAAGUGGAAAAGGAUGUGGCGUUGCCCAGACAACUAGGAUGUUGGCUUAGAAGCAGCCAUCAUUUAAAGAGUGCGUAAUAGCUCACUAGUCGAGUGACACUGCGCCGAAAAUGUACCGGGGCUAAACAUAUUACCGAAGCUGUGGAUUGUCCUUUGGACAAUGGUAGGAGAGCGUU
rnacentral:rRNA from 1 species